rnacentral:pre_miRNA from 14 species
UGCUUCAAAGAUCCCCAAAGGGAGACCCUCACUCAAGUCUCGGGAAGUCACGGACCCCAGACACACUAGAGACC